rnacentral:rRNA from 1 species
GACGAACCACACAAACAUUAUUCGGAAUUACUGGGCUUAAAGGGUGCGUAGGCGGCGCGGAAAGUUGGGUGUGAAAUACCUCGGCUCAACCGAGGAAAUGCGCCCAAAACUGCCGUGCUCGAGGAAGAUAGAGGUGAGCGGAACUUACGGUGGAGCGGUGAAAUGCGUUGAUAUCGUAAGGAACACCUGUGGCGAAAGCGGCUCACUGGGUCUUUUCUGACGCUGAUGCACGAAAGCUAGGGGAGCAAACGGG